UUUGUAAUAGAGAUCUCUUUAUUAUAGUGCAUUUCUCAGAUGUUACAAGAUGGGUUAAAAAAAGCUAAAAACAAAGGGAAAUCCUUAAGUAAAAGAAAAUACAUAUGCACACACACCUUGUGUCAUUUGUACAGAAAAUGAUCUGAAAAUUAAAGCUUCACAUCUGAACAAGGGUAGCUAAAUGAAAUUGUCAAGUUAAAAUAAAUGUUCAUACAGAAGUUCAUAUACACUUGAAUUACCUGCCAUAUACCGGAAGUGACGCUCAUCAUUCAAUUCAAUGGAUUUUCUUUCAGCACUAAACUCUACAAUAUCAUUACAGAAGAAAAGGGCCAAAAAUUAGAUUAGAGUUAAUUUGUUGAAACCAUUUUCUGGAACAAUUCAUAAAAGAAAAAAAAAAAAGAGAUCUAAUUGUCCAGUUGUACACAGAUACAAGGGUAAAGGUCAGUCCUACCCUCAAGAGGUCAGUGUGGGGCUGGGACCUUAGGGUCAUCUUCGAUCAGCAGGGGGUGUGUACAGUACAGUGUACUAAGGGUUUCUCAACUAAAUUCGCAGUAGCCUUUGGAAUACAUGGGAUGUACAGAAAACCAUUUUGUCAGUUAUGGUAUACAUUUUGAAGCUGUGUGUUGAUGUGGAGAACAGCCGCGGCUUAAUUUGCACGUGGUCUGCUGGUGUAGUUAGGUUGAUGAGGCAACCUUCCAUGGUCUAGUUACAGUACUAUUGUAUUAUAGUGCAAGCUGGUCAUGUUUCACAUGGAGCGAAGGGGAAGAUGUGACUACCUGUGCAGCAGAACCGGGAAAACUAACCCCGACGACACAUAUAGAGCAAACAACCUAGAUAGCCCCGCAUAGGGUGUGUGUUAACAAUUCAGAGUUUGGAUUGUAGGCUGAAGUAAAGCGUAACGCAUUGAAUGCCAUGAGAGCUUGAUAACAACACGGCACUAUGAGGAAUUGGAGAGUGCCGUGUUAGUGCAGCUGAAAGUCAGUGGCGGCUGAUGGAAGGAGCUAAAGGAGGGGCUUAAUGUAAUGUCUGGAAUGGAAUCAAUGGAAAGGUAUCAAAUAUAUC
rnacentral:lncRNA from 1 species